AAUUUCCAUCGAUUUUAUUCAUAUUAACAGUGAUAUGGAUUCUUUUUCUUCUUGGCGAAAAUCGACCAACGCAUUCAAUUCUUUACGUGUUGGUUACGAUAUGCUUUUUUUUACACAACCAAAAGAAAUGCAAUGUAUGGACCACACGGUAUGGUCUUAUAUACUAAAAAAGAAUUCACAAUGCACAAAUAAGUAUAUUGGCACAAAACGCAUUGCGUAUUCGGAACGUAAUAACUGGAAUCCGUAUAGAAAACGCUACAAUAAGCGUAACGCCCCACCGCAACUUGAUAUAUACAAACCUCGUAAUGUGUAUUUAAGUUCACACGCAUUUCUUCCUUUGUUAUCGAAUGAUUGUCGUCAAACAAUUUAAUUACUUUGAAAACUUUGUGCUGCCAUUUUAAAUAUUAAAAUCUAUCAUGAAUAUCCAGAAAUUUCUUGAUGAUUAUAUUCCAUGGAGCUAUAUAGCUGUGUGGUAUAUUCUCUUGAAUGUAGUCACCAUUUUUGUGUACAAAUACGAUAAAGAAGAGUCUAUGAGACCUAAAAGAGCGCGAAAAAAUCGCGUAUCAGAAGUUAACCUUCAUUUGCUUAGCCUGUUGGGUGGAUGGGUCGGUGCUUUUAUCGCACAACGCUGUUUUCGACAUAAAACCGCAAAAGGGUGGUUCCAAUUUGGAUUUUUGGUUACUAUUGUUUGUAAUAUUUCUUUGUUAUAUAAAUUUAUCGGUUUCCUAAACAAUUUAAAAUCCCAAUAAAAAUCAAUUUGUGAAAUUUCCACGACAA